GAAAAAGGGGUGACAUCGCAGAUUAAAGGUCUGCUCUACCUUCAUUUCUCCCGGAAAUCCAUGAGAGACCAUGAGAUCCAGACCAUGAGAAAGUGGAUUUUCCCGUUUUUCAAAGCUUCCAAGUACCAUUCUGAGCAAUGCCAGUAAGAGAGGAAAUAUAAAAUGAGUCCCAUUUCACAGAUCUGGUCACUAAAGACAACUGGCAAUGAAAUGGGUGUGUGAAAGAGGAGGAAACCAGAUAUUAUGUUACUUAAAAGUCAUUCAUCAUGUCACAGGAAGGCAGGAAUCUGAACUCCUGAAAUAAAUAAUCA